rnacentral:rRNA from 1 species
AAAUUGAAGAGUUUGAUCAUGGCUCAGAUUGAACGCUGGCGGCAGGCCUAACACAUGCAAGUCGAACGGUAACAGGAAGCAGCUUGCUGCUUCGCUGACGAGUGGCGGACGGGUGAGUAAUGUCUGGGAAACUGCCUGAUGGAGGGGGAUAACUACUGGAAACGGUAGCUAAUACCGCAUAACGUCGCAAGACCAAAGAGGGGGACCUUCGGGCCUCUUGCCAUCGGAUGUGCCCAGAUGGGAUUAGCUUGUUGGUGGGGU